UGGGGAAUUUUGCGCAAUGGGGGAAACCCUGACGCAGCAACGCCGCGUGAGUGAUGAAGGCCUUCGGGUCGUAAAGCUCUGUCAGAGGGGAAGAAAUGCAGGGGUGCUAAUAUCAUCUUUGCUUGGCGGUACCCUCAAAGGAAGCACCGGCUAACUCCGUGCCAGCAGCCGCGGUAAUACGGAGGGUGCGAGCGUUGUUCGGAAUUAUUGGGCGUAAAGCGCGUGUAGGCGGUUUGGUAAGUCCGAUGUGAAAGCCCCGGGCUCAACCUGGGAAGUGCAUUGGAAACUGUCAGAAUUGAAUACGGGAGAGGGUAGGGGAAUUCCUAGUGUAGGAGUGAAAUCCGUAGGUAUUAGGAGGAACACCGGUGGCGAAGGCGGCUACCUGGACCGAUAUUGACGCUGAGACGCGAAAGCGUGGGGAGCAAACAG
rnacentral:rRNA from 1 species